AAAAAAAAAAAGAUUUUGGUUUGGUUUUUGUUGUUGUUUUGUUUGUUCAUUUAUUUUGAGAUGGGAUUUGGCCAGGAGCUUGCUAUGUAGACCAGGGUACCCUCAAACUCAUAGAGGACAAACUCAUGGUUUUGUGCAUGCUAAUCAAGCCCUGGGCUAUAUACUUAGCCAAGGUUCUCCAUUUAAUGCUUAUUUCAAAGAAUCAAGAGUUUUUCUACCAGUACUGAAGAGAUUGCACAGAGGUUAAGAGCAUUGGUUGCUCUUCCAGAGGCCCUAAGUUCAAUUCCCAACAAGCACAUGGUGGGUCAUAAGCAUCUGUAAUGAGGUCUGGUACUCUUUGCCCUGCAGUCAUACAUGCAGGCAGAAUGCUGUAUAUGUAAUAAAUUUUAAAAAAAUGUUUUUCUCCUAGUUUGUACAUUAAAUUUUUUCCUUCUUUGGUUAAGUUUGCUUUUCUUUUUAAGAUGUCUGUAACUGAAUCCUCAUGUCCUUGACUUUGAGUCCUCCUGAAGGGAGCAGUUAUAGCUUUGUAUUCCCUCCCAGGUGGCGUGUUACUUGUCUCGCAUCCUACAUUCUAGGAUAAGUACAUCUCAGUUGCUCACUAUACAAUAACCCCAGUGUCCUUUAUGGUUUCAGUUUCGCCUGUGAAUUAUUUAGGAGCAGGUUAUUAAAUUCCUAAAUCUUUGAAUAUUUUGUGUUUUGUUUUUUAAUAGCUUUUUGUUUUGUUUUGUCCUGUUUUGUUGUGUUGAGACAGUGUUUCUCUGUGUAGCCCUGGCUGUCCUGAGUUCCCUUUGUAGACCAGGCUGGCCUCAAACUCAAAGAGAUCCUCUUGCUUCUGCUUCUGGAGCGCUGGGAUUAACGUGCCCAGCUUGUUUUAGAAUAGCUUACUGCUCUUAGUUUCUAACUUGAUUCUGAUAUGGUCAAAAAACACAUGGUUUUCCUCCCUUCAAUAAAAAUUUAACAUUUGAGACCCAAAAUAUUCUCCGUUUUGGUGAAUGCACAGUGUGAACUUGAGAAGAAUGUAUAUCUUCAACACAGUAUUUUGCAAAAGCUACUGGCCAUGAGGGAUUCUGUAAAUGCUAAAGAUUAAUGUGAUUCAGAUCGUUUAUUCUUCACUGAAGCUUUGGCUUUUGUCCCAUCAGUUGCUGAGAGAGAUGACUAUAGUCUUUAAGCUUAUGGAGGUGUCUGCUUUGUCUAAUGCUGUCAGUUUUCAGUAUGUGUAGUUUGAAGCUCUAUUAUUAGCUAUUGCAACAGAUCAUUAUGUCUGCUGAAUAAUUUGACAUUUUGUCAUUAGGAAGCCUGUCUUUAUAUCUGGCAGUACUCUCUGUCCUGAUGUCUGUUAUAUCGAAAUUAAAAUAGCCAUCACAGUGAUCCUGUGUUUGGUGAUUAC
rnacentral:lncRNA from 1 species